rnacentral:rRNA from 1 species
AUUGAACGCUGGCGGCAGGCCUAACACAUGCAAGUCGAGCGGAACGACCGACGGGUGGGUAAUGCCUGGCAGGCUGCCUGGUAGUGGGGGAUAGCGUCCGGCAACGGGCGCUAAUACAUCACACUAUCAGAUGGGCCUAGGCCGGAUUGGCUAGUUGGUGGGGUAAAGGCCGACCAAGGCGACGGUCCGUACCUGGUCUGAGAGGAAGAUCAGUCACACUGGAACUGAGACACGGUCCAGACUCCUACGGGAGGCAGCAGUGGGGAAUAUUGGACAAUGGGCGAAAGCCUGAUGCAGCCAGGCCGCGUGUGUGAAGAAGGUCUUCGGAUUGUAAAGCACUUUAAGUGGGGAGGCGUUACCAGCAGAAGAAGCACCGGCUAACUCCGUGCCAGCAGCCGCGGUAAUAC